rnacentral:rRNA from 1 species
AGAGUUUGAUCCUGGCUCAGGAUGAACGCUAGCGGCAGGCUUAACACAUGCAAGUCGAGGGGCAGCGCGGGGCGGCAACGUCCUGGCGGCGACCGGCGGAAGGGUGCGUAACGCGUGAGCGACAUGCCCGUUGCCCGGGGACAACCGGUGGAAACGCCGACUAAUCCCCGAUGGGACGGAGGCCCUCAUGGGUCUCUGUUGAAAGUUACGGCGGCGACGGAUUGGCUCGCGUCCGAUUAGCUUGUUGGCGGGGUAACGGCCCACCAAGGCUACGAUCGGUAGGGGUUCUGAGAGGAAGGUCCCCCACAAUGGAACUGAGACACGGUCCAUACUCCUACGGGAGGCAGCAGUGAGGAAUAUUGGUCAAUGGGCGGAAGCCUGAACCAGCCAUGCCGCGUGCGGGAAGGAGGCCCUAUGGGCUGUGAACCGCUUUUGCCUGGGGGCAAUAAGGGCGCCGUGCGCGCCCGAUGAGAGUACCAGGCGAAUAAGCAUCGGCUAACUCCGUGCCAGCAGCCGCGGUAAUACGGGGGAUGCGAGCGUUAUCCGGAUUCAUUGGGUUUAAAGGGUGCGUAGGCUGUGCGUCAAGUCGGGGGUGAAAUUCCGGUGCUCAACACCGGGGCUGCCCUUGAUACUGUCGCGCUGGAGUGCGGAUGCCGCCGGAGGAAUGAGUGGUGUAGCGGUGAAAUGCUUAGAUAUCACUCAGAACACCGAUUGCGAAGGCAUCUGGCGAAUCCGUAACUGACGCUGAGGCACGAAAGCGUGGGGAUAGAACAGGAUUAGAUACCCUGGUAUUCCACGCCGUAAACGAUGAUGGCUAACCGCCGGCGACAUACUGUCGGUGGCCAAGCGAAAGCGAUAAGCCAUCCACCUGGGGAGUACGUCGGCAACGAUGAAACUCAAAGGAAUUGACGGGGGCCCGCACAAGCGGAGGAACAUGUG